ensembl:lncRNA
GGGCAGAAUAACAUCGAUCUCUCGAGCUCCAGAGGACGCUGAUUCUGGCAAGAACGAACAAAUCAAGAACAAGGUUAUUUCAAAAUACAUAAUAGCUUGGCGAAUAUAAACGAAAACAGUCACGUGAACAUAAACAGUUGAGAAAUAAAUCUGAAGUGUAUCAUGAUACUGGAUUUGAAUAUUAAAGUGACUGCAUUUACCAGCUGCUUUCUGUCUUUAAUUUUAAUCUAUAAAAACAGAAAAUCAUUCGUCUUGGCUGCUUUUUUUGUAUGUAUUCAUGUAUUUAUUAUUAUUAUUAUUUUUUUUUUUUUUUGCUCUAACAAGAAUUAAUCUAUAUUUAAUUAAAUUAAAUUUCUGCAUCUAAACACCUAUAAACCUAAAACAUGCUCUAUUAAACUAUUGUUAGCAAUUUCUUUAUCGUCCAGUUUAACUGGUGUACACACUUUUAUUUUCAUAAUAAAUUUGUUUUUUUUAGAUAAUAGACAGUUACAGUGGUCUAUAAUAAAUAUUAACAGGUUUUGUUCAAGCUGCUUAAAAUGUUUGAAGUAGGCUCAUUUUUUUAAAUGUAAAUCCUAAAAAAAAAACAAAAAAAAAAAAAAAAAAUAAAACUGGGAAACAGCCAUAUUUACGAAAAGGUGCUUAACCUAUAGAAAAAUAAAACUAUGAAUUAAAUUAGUGUUUAAUUUUUAGUAAUGACCAUUUUUGUUGUCAUAAAAACCUUCUUCUUUACAAUACAGAAUAACGAUUGUCAAUAGUAAAUAUUAUGAAAACAAUAACUGUUGUAUUUUUCAUCAUUAUAUAGUUUAUGUAUUAUAAUUGUAAAAACAAAACAAAUUUAGCAACUCACAUAGUAAUCAUUCAACACUGCUUAAAA